rnacentral:SRP_RNA from 1 species
UUGCCGGCUGACAAGCCAGCGCUGAACCCCGCCAGGUCCGGAAGGAAGCAGCGGUAAGCGUGAUGCUUGUGCAGCCGGUUUUAU